CUAUAAAGCUGAAGUAAGAGCCUUAGGCCGCAAGCUGAGUCCUACCGCAGAAUUACUGGAACGUCACACGUUUCCUGGUCCCGUAUUGUCUAUUCGAAUCAAUUACGCCGAAGAACCGUUUUUGGAAGCUGAUUUAGAUGAGACUGAUUUUCGAUGAGAUGGUCGUUUGAUGGUGUCGCCAAUUUUGUCGUUGUGUCGGACUGCUUAUCCAGAAGAAAUAAGUUGAAUUAUUGGCGAUACGUUUGUCAAAGUGGCAGAUAGAACGGCUAACGAUUUAAAUCUCACUUAGGAUAAUCUACUUCUCAGACAAGAUACUUUGAUGCCUGAUUUAAUUGAGACCGCUUCGAAUAUGGGUUCUUCGCACGCUGAUGCCACAAAGACUCAUCAUAAUGAUUCCGAAAUGGUUCGUCAAUUUCGCAUUCACGAUCGUCUAGUAGAACCUCUAGAAGACUUCCAUAAAGAUGAAUUAAGAGACUUAGGUCCAUGUCGAUGUCACAGGGAUUCAGUUUGUAAGUGCCGUGUGACAAGUCUUGUCGUCACUUUUAAAGUUCGCGAGGAAUAAACAACGAACUCUUUUAAGGAUCAACAAUGUUUUCUAGAAAUGAUCCGCCAAACAGUAUGGCCAUCUAUUGGUACUAUAUUCAGUUUUACCACGUCGGGGUUUGGUAAGGACCAUUCGAGUUUAGAAUAAGGAGUUAAGGACUGUGCAGAGUGCAGACUACAGAUUGCAUUUACAGUGCAGCUUCUGCUAUGAGGUCAUUUCAUAUCUAAACUGACAAAUUUCUUUACAAAUUUAAACAGAAUGUUUACAGAGCCAAGCAAAGCAAUUCACCUAGGAGGCAAUCCAAACCCAACCCAAUGAUAAGAUAAGAAGGAUAUGACCUCGAAGAGCAAGUUUACUGCAUCUGCUAUACCUCAGAUGCCAGCAGAUAUAUUGUGCAAAUAUUGCUGAAGAGAAAUCCUGCUUCAUCAGAAAGGUUUCCUGUCUGGCAAAGGGAUCCUAACUUAAGUACCGAAUACAAACAGAAACACUGGAAGAUGUAAGGAAGGAGGAAUCAGCAAAGAAGGCAAAAUAAAAAGACAUGAAGGAUAAACUUGUAUAUAACUGCAGCAAAUGUGACUCUAGUCAAGGAAAACCACGUCAGCAAUGACAGUACCGAGUCUGUCUCACUUUUGCCCCCGAGUUUCAAAUUUGGUGUUUUCAAAUUUUCUUUCAUUGUUGACUGAAUCUCAUUUAGCAGAAAAAUGUUAAGACAGUAGCGUAAGUAGAGGAAAUUACCGUAAAACCGACCUUGAAAACCUCGAGCACGGAAAUAAGCAAACGGUAUUUAGGCAGAUAAUCAUGCACGCAAAGAUAAAUAGUCCAAUUUAAUUGAAUUGCCUUAACAUAUUUUACCUGACCAUUCGCUUAAGACGACUUUUGGUCAACCAUUGUUGCGGACCAUAUCUUAUAAAUACGUCGCGUCCGGGAAGUAAGAACUGCAGUGACCAGUUGGCUGACCGGUGCGUUGCAAAAAUCUAAGAAGUUCGAUGAUACUGAUGGAUGCGAGUAUCUUUUACUACGGGAAGUCUUUGAAGAGAAAAAGCUGGGAGAAACUUGGAAGGCCGAAAUCCAUAUGGAAAGAGUACGCCAGUGGCUUCAACUGGAUGAGUUGUUCGAAAAAGAACGACAGAUUUAAGCUGCGAAUGCUCAGUUAGGUGGACUUUUACCACUUACACUUCAUUCAGCUUUCAACUAUGAAUACAUGCAGCAACAAUACUCCAGACACCACUGCGCAAACUGGCGAGACCAUUGAAAACAAUUUAAAAAAACACCAUCAUAGAAGACAUGUUUACAUAUGCUAUUUCACGUGCUUUUUUACUGCUUUAUAUGGCUUCUUUUGAUUCUGUGGUCACGUGUCCUUUUGCCUACUUCUGAAAUUAAGAAAUUCUUACAACUCGUGGUGUUUGUAAAUUUGGAUAAUAGAUGGCGCGACGCUACUGCGCCUCUGCCUUUGUGUUGUGAAAAAACUAAGACUGACAAGUGAAACCCGUGUCUGAAUAUUUGUUAACUUUGUUACAUUCCAGUGAUAAGUUUGUAAAAUUAAAUGGUGUUAUUUCAACUAUUGAAAGUUUUUCAUUCUCUUCUGUGUUUUUGAAGUAAGAAACGUCAAGUGGAUUAUUUUGUGUGCAAUGGGUUAACUUGUGAUCAGCUAUGCCGGCUGCCAAAUCCAACCUAUUACUUUUACAUUCCACCAUGCAAUUUUAUUGCAUGUUGAAAGAAGUAGUUGGUGAAACCUAAAUAGCAAUGGAUACUAACGGUGAAGAAAGUUUUGAUCUGAAAAGUGCACCAUGUUGUGUUGCAAACCAUUAACCAUUUCAACAAUCUUCUCGUCAUUUCUACUUAGCCUAUCAAAUGGCAGGAAUUUGAGUUACAGGCUCGUGUAUCUAAAAUGAAAAGGAUAGGAUGCUGGCCUCAAAGGAAGAUCAUCAACAAUGCAAAAUCAAUGGAUUAGAAUACCUCAUGUCAUUCUAUACAUUUGCCCACUUAUAAUCUCAUUUAACAGGCGUCUUUGCUUCGCCCGUCGCCCCGUCUUCGCUUUGCCCGUCACCCCGUCUUUGCUUCGCCCGUCGCCCCGUCUUCGAUUCGCCCGUCGCCCCGUCUUCGCCUCGCCCGUCGCCCCGUCUUCGCCUCGCCCGUCGCCCCGUCUUCGCCUCGCCCGUCGCCCCGUCUUCGCCUCGCCCGUCGCCCCGUCUUCGCCUCGUGGUCGCCUUGUCAUCGUGGUAUCUUUGUAUUUUGUAAUGUUUAGUGCUAAUUAACCCGUUGGCUGCCACCCACUUUGAUCCCCUUUUUUUUUAAAGCUUGUUAGGGUCCGGCAGCGCUGUUCUGCCCAAUGGUCUAUAUGCCAUGGGUGGGACAGUUGCACAAGCCGUGUGGCUCAAAGUCGAUCGUCGAGGCAAUGUACCAGUAGGGACUUUCCCUUUUUCGAUGCUUUGAUGGUUGCCUGGAGUGUACAUUCUCACAAAGGCUUCUGUCAUCGUGUCAGCCCGGAUUUGUCGUAGGACAAGUCCCCCUUGGUCGCUAUCCAUUCGAUAGCGAUGUAGCUAGCGUAGAUUUAGUGGCGUGGCAGCCAACGGGUUAGUUUUAUGUAUGUGUGUUUUGUAUUGUAUUGUAUUUAAAAUCUAAAAUCUUGUGGUGGAUUUGUGGGUGGAUGGAGGGACAAUAAA